rnacentral:rRNA from 1 species
GACGAACGCUGGCGGCGUGCUUAACACAUGCAAGUCGAACGGAAAGGCCCUGCUUUUGUGGGGUGCUCGAGUGGCGAACGGGUGAGUAACACGUGAGUAACCUGCCCUUGACUUUGGGAUAACUUCAGGAAACUGGGGCUAAUACCGGAUAGGAGCUCCUGCUGCAUGGUGGGGGUUGGAAAGUUUCGGCGGUUGGGGAUGGACUCGCGGCUUAUCAGCUUGUUGGUGGGGUAGUGGCUUACCAAGGCUUUGACGGGUAGCCGGCCUGAGAGGGUGACCGGCCACAUUAGGACUGAGAUACGGCACAGACUCCUACGGGAGGCAGCAGUGGGGAAUAGUGCACAAUGGGCGGAAGCCUGAUGCAGCAACGCCGCGUGCGGGAUGACGGCCUUCGGGUUGUAAACCGCUUUCGCCUGUGACGAAGCGUGAGUGACGGUAAUGGGUAAAGAAGCACCGGCUAACUACGUG